rnacentral:tRNA from 1 species
GACACCGUGGUAUACAUGGUUAACGCGUCGGCGUACAUUGCCGAACUCGCUGGUUCGAAUCCAGCCAGUUCCC